AUGAAGCGGCAAGAGCCCAAAUUUGAAAUCGGGCAGCCGAGUUGUAAUUUGGAGACGGGACACUAGAGAGGAGGAAGGCGAUUAAGUGCCUUGGAACAGGCUGCCGUAGAGGGUGAGAGCCCCGUGAAUCGCUGGAGACCGAUCAAUUAGUGCCCGCCGAAGAGUCGAGUUGUUUGGGAAUGCAGCUCUAAGUGGGUGGUAUAUUCCAUCUAAGGCUAAAUAUUAGCGAGAGACCGAUAGCAAACAAGUACAGUGAUGGAAAGAUGAAAAGAACUUUGGAAAGAGAGUGAAAUAGUACGUGAAAUUGUUGAAAGGGAAGGGUAUUUGAUCCGACAUGGUGUUUAGCAGCGGCCCGUUCCUCGUGGAUGGGUGCACCUGGUUUACACUGGGCCAGCAUCGGUUCUGGGAGCCAUAUACGGGGUUCGUGAAUGUGGCCCUUCGAUUCUGUCGGAGGGUGUUAUAGCGCGGACAUCUUGUGGCUAGCCGGGACCGGGGACUGCGGUGACUUGUCACCAAGGAUGCUGGCAGAACGAGCAAAUACCACCCGUCUUGAACC
rnacentral:rRNA from 1 species